UUCUAUUUCCCAUUUGUUUGUCGAUUCCACUUCCUACGAUACAUCUUCUUCUCUCACCAUUUGAUCCCCAGUUCUUUUUUUAUUUUCAUUUGUUUUUUCCACCAGGCCUCUUUCUUUUAUAUGAAUUGGAAAUAUAUCAUUGCCAACCUUCAGCAUUAUCGCUUUAUCAAGUUUAUGUGCUUGCUUUAUUAAGAUCAAAAUAUCCAUCUUCUCAAAGUUGUUUACCAUUGUCAGAUUUUCACCCAUUGCAAUUAUCUCUCCCUAUAAACCUACCACUCUCUUAAACGUUUGGUAGUUCCAACAAUAAAGUGGAAUCCCUGAAACUUCGAUCCAAGCUGCCCUUUCCAUAACUUUAAAUUUUUCCGACCAUGGCUCUAUAUUGAUGAAAAAUUCUUUUAGGUAUGUACAGCCCAUUUGCCCAAGCCCAAUCACAACCCAAUCGGCCCAAAAGAACCCAUACCAGCAGACCCACCAACUCCGCCGUUCACCUGCUUUCUGGCACCACCGACUCACCUGCUCCAACUGCUCCGCCAGUACCUGCAACAAACACCAACAAGCAAUUUUUGGUAGUUUUUUUGGCUAUAUAAGGCCGAUUGAAAAAUGAACGAAGGGCUUUUUUUUUCGAUUUGUAACCAAGAAAAAUUCUAACAGAAUAAUAAAAUAUCAAGAUUCAAGGUGAUUCC
rnacentral:lncRNA from 1 species